CGGGACCGUUGUCGGCCGCCGCUGGCCCGGCUUUCCGCUACCGGGACGCGCUCGCGGUCGAGUCCCUAGAAGUGACCUCAAAAAAUCAAAACGGAACUACUUUCUCUGUCCCUCCCCACCUUUUCAUAGGAGUUCACGAAACUCCAGAGACGUCCCCCGUAGGUCGACAUCCUUCCUGUGUUUAAGACUAAAAGAGCAUCAUUAUAUUUGAAGAAACCAAGAUUGAAUGUUCAUUGGCUUGGCAGUUUUUAACACAGUGCAGUUUGGAACAUGUCCCAGUUCUUGUGGAUCACAUUUAUGGAAACUCUUAAAGGACUUUAAUGCCCCUCCCUAAUCCUUUUUCUACUGUAAAACCUCAUUAAUAUAUCCUCAAUGUAUAAUUUAUUAGUAAUAAGGAUUUGGGUCAUUCGAGAUUUAAAACUUUGAGAUAAGUUGGAUAUUCGGAAUAAUGUAAUGAUUUGUAAUAUAGGUCUUAAACAUUUAAAUAGCUUAACUCAUUGUUUAAGACUAGUCAUCAGCUAUAUUUGAAUACAUAUUCCCCACAGUAAAACUAUUUUCAAUAAUAUUACUAUGCAUCUUUGUAAGUGCCUUAUAAUUUGGGCUUUUAAAAAUUGCCUGCGCUUUCUUCCCUUAAUUUAGCCCAUUUACUCCCAAAAUAAAGAGGCUGUGUUUCUUUUUUUUUUUUUAAGGCAUUGUUUAUCUGUAACGUUUGUAUCUAACUUUACUGUAUCUAAUUACACUUUCAGUAUUAUACAAAAAUUUUUUUGUUUUUCUUGUCCAAACUUAAGAUCGGUUGUAAUUUUAUUGGCCAACAUCUACUUCAUUAAAUACAUUGACUUUGUUUAUGUAGAAAUAUUUAGCCAGAAGGAGUUGAGGAUGCAGUGGUGAGAUGUGGAUUUUGUUACUGUAUGAUGUGAAUAGGUACCUUCUCUCAGCCUCAGUUUCCUCUUGAUCUUGUGAGGCUGAUGAAAACAGGAAAAUCACCUCACACAGUGGUACUUAGUUGCCACUCAAUAAAUAUUAGACCUUCCCUGAAUCUCUGUGUUCCUCACCAAAAAUAUAUUGGACAAAUGAUUGGUGAAUAUGAAGCACUUUAUAAACCUGGAUAAUACUAUAUAAAUGCUGUUUGUAUGGUUGAGUAUUAGAUAAUCAUAUUGGAUUCUCUAAAACUGAAAACUUGACCUAGGGAUAGUCUUUAACUUAGUGUAUGGACCCUGUGCUAAUGUAGAAGACAACAGUUUAUAAUGUAAACAGUCACGUUAAAAUUAAUCUUAUCCAGCAAGUUAUUGUUUUUUCUAUUAAAUAUUGAACUCACUGUUUAUGAAGUGUUGUGGGUACCAUCUUUACUGUGUGAAAUAGAAGUUUAAAAUACAGUUCUUGAACCCAAGGCACUAACAGAAAUUUCUGUAAUGGUGGAAAUUUUCUGUGUCUGUGCUGUUCCAUAUGGUAGCCACUAGCCAUAGUAGCUAUUGAGCAAUUGAAGUGUCCCUAAUAUGAACAGGGACCACAUUUUAAAUUUUAUUUAAUUUAAAUGGAUUUGUACGUAGUGGCUCCAUGUGCCUAGUGACUACUGUGAUGCAUAGUGCAGGUGUAGAUGAGACCUAAGACUAACUGCAUGAACAGUAAAUUAACCCUCCAAAGUAGUUUAUAGUAAAAGUUGGAUAGGAGCAUGAUGAGCAAGUGCUAUGGGAGUCUAAUAGAAGUGGAGAGGAGGCUGGUUAUGUCUCGGAUAGGGGUGCUAGUGGAGGUGGGUUUUAAGCCAAGUAUUAAAGUCUGGGUAGGAUUUGUAGUCUCAGAGGGAGCCAGAGACCUCCACAGGGAGCAGUGAAUUGACCUAAACAAGCAAAGUGUGGCUGAGAAGG
rnacentral:lncRNA from 1 species